UAAGGACGAAGCUAAUAAAAAGCAUUUAACUGUUAAUUAAAAGAAAGUAUUUUAAUACCUUCCUUA
rnacentral:tRNA from 1 species